AGGACGAACGCUGGCGGCGUGCUUAACACAUGCAAGUCGAGCGGAAAGGCCCUUCGGGGUACUCGAGCGGCGAACGGGUGAGUAACACGUGAGCAAUCUGCCCCUAGCUCUGGGAUAGCUCCGGGAAAACCGGGAUUAAUACCAGAUACAACCACUUUAGACAUCUUUUGUGGUGGAAAGGAUUCCGGCUAGGGAUGAGCUCGCGGCCUAUCAGCUUGUUGGUGGGUAACGGCCCACCAAGGCGACGACGGGUA
rnacentral:rRNA from 1 species